UUUGGGGAGAAAAAGGAAAAAAUAAAAUCUUUAAAAAAAAAAAAAGAAACUUAGCAACAGAAGAAAUAAUGAGUACUAGUUUAUAACUCAAGAAUAAAGUAACUAUCCAUGAUUCCAUACUGAUAUAAAUAAGUGAUUAAAUAUAUAAGUUAAUGAUAGAUAAGAGACAGCUCUUUCUUACAGGAGAAUCCAACUAAUAAAUGUAGAAGAAAUAAAGGAAAAUGAAAAUGACUAUUAGAACACCAGAAUGAUAAUUGUUACAGGCAAGAUCCACCAAUUAAUGCUAAAAUUAGUGGGUGAAAGUUUACAGAGAAUCAGGAUAUUUGCAUAGUUUCAAAGUAUUUCCCCUCAAAUAUUUAUUACUACAAAAUAAAAAUAGUAAUUUAAAGUAAAGCCUCAGACACCAUCUUAACUGGAUGAUUAAGCCUAACUUCACCAGUAAUAAGAUAUACUAAUAUCAUAUACUCCCUGAUACGAUGCCCUGAGAGGGUCUUCUCACCUCUAUGAUAUUCUUCCCUAAAAUGCAUAACUCAAACUAAUCGUGAGGAAACAUCAGACAAGCUCAAAUUGAGGGACUUUCCACAAAAUACUUAACUAGUUUUAGAAAAAAGUUAGAGGGACUAGUGAGACCCUAAGAGAAUUAGCUUUUAACUCUAUCUUAGGCUAAAGGACUAAGAAAUGAGUUAUUUUUUUAGUUACAGAGAUGACCGAUAGAGGCACUGAUACCAUUGUCAUUGGAAGGAGGUGAGAGAAGGAGACAGAGAGGGUUGUAGGUGGGCUGACUCUUCACCCAUCCUAGCAGAAAGUCAGAUAAUGUCUGAGUUGGUAAAACAAGAAGCAAUAGUAUAGGCAUGUCAUUUCGAUUCAUGGCAACAACCUUCAGAAGACCUAAAGGCAGGAAUAGUAAAAAGGGAGAACCCCAGAGAAACGGACUAGGGGAAGAGGAGGGUAGGUCAGGUGACUCGCUUCUUGUUAGAACACUAAUUGUAUUUUUUUAACCAUGUGCAUGAAUUACCUAGAUUAUUUUUAAGAAAAAUGUCUUUUUCCAUAAAAAUUGGGGACUACUAUGUUUUCAAAAGAUUCCAAACAAAAUUUCUUUAAAAUGAAAUGUUCCCCAUGUGUACAAAAUGAGAUUCACUUAUAGAAGGAAAAAAUAACUCAUGCAAAGCUUUUUCAGAAACUUAGCUAUUGCACAAAGUGAAGUACUCUGUCUUUCUGAGAGCAUCUUUUUAAUGAUCGUAUAGCUUUUGUUUUUACAACCGAAAAAAGAACAAAAGCAAAAAUGAUGUGGGAAAUUGCUCCUUUUGUGCCUGAGUCCUCUAAAUGUUUAUUCAGUCAGCAGAUGGUAGACCAGCUGUUGGAUGAUGGGCUCUGAAAAUGACCUUGUUCCAUUAAGUGGUAAUAAGUUGACCAUUCUAGAAAUAUGAGAAUUUCCAGUCUAGAACUCUCGUGGAGAAUGGUUUUGUAUUUGCAGUGACAGCAUAUUGUUUCCAUGCUUGCUAAAAAUGCCAUCCACUCUUUUCUGUACUUUCAUAGAAUAUAAAAUUAAUGCAUGUGCUUACUCAUACACGUACACCAUACACUGCAGUCCCAGUUAAAAUGCACCGUAUCUUGCACCUUUAAAUAAUUGCAAGUUGACAUUGUGUAGAUUAUUCCAACAUCAGAUUGUUUAAUGUAAUAACCAACUCCAGGGCAGAUAGAGCUCACAGAGAGAAACCAACGACAUGCUCCUAGCUGUGUCCUAAUAUUUGGACAGACUCAUGUCACUAUUCUCAGUUGUUAAGAAAAGCAUGAGUUAUCACUUUCAGUUCUAUAUUUGUUUGGAAAAAAAAUCAAAUUUUAUGGGUUUUGAAAAGAGAGAUGUUUUGUAAGAGUGGGAAUUGCACAAGAGCCUUUUGCAGUUUCUUAAGAGAUCCCAGAUCACCCAGUCACUCAUUCAGCUCAAGAACAAAAGCAGUAUAGAGCAGGGUUUCUCAAUCUGUGAUGAAGGAACUUUUGGGGUUUUUUAUUUCAAAUCAAUCUCAGAAUGAUAUUUUUAUAAAACACAAAAUCACAUGCUUGGAUGUUGUGGCAAUGUCCAGCUGCCACAAGUUUCUAAACGCUUACUCUGAACUUGGCCCUUUCCAUCAAUUGGUAGCACAGAGUUUGCAGACCAGGACCAGUCUGCAGAGCCCUGAGCUCUGGGUGGGAGGACCACACGUUCAGAAACAUAGCUUUCAGGCUCCGCUUUGCCACAAGCUAAAUGAAGAGCCUUUGGGCCGGUCGCUUAACCUCACAGGGUUGCUGUGAGGACCCAAGGAGGUUUUAUAAAUGAAAGCUUUGUGAACAGUGAAAACUAUAUUCAUAUUAGUUAUUAUUCUUAACCUCUCCAGACCUCAGUUUCAAUUUGACUUAAAGAAAGUUGAAUGAGGUGUCCUUUAUAGCACUUUAAACUUUAAAGAUUCUGUACAUUGAUGCAUUGGUUUAAAUAAAGCAAGAGGGUGGACAGUGUGUCCCUACACUGCCAAGAGGUUUCUGAGGAACUGGGCAUAGAGGGAAUUGUGCCUGGGCUGGCCUGUCUCCUCAUCUUUGGUUCCUCUCGCUGAGGCCUGUGGUAACCGAUAAGAACACGUCAGAACAAAGGCUGCUGUUGGACACUUGCAGGUCCCACGCGGAAGAGAAAGUGAGGCCUGAUCAGCAAGUUGGGCACAUGGCUCACAGUUACCACGGGAGCAAGAGGUCCCACAUCCCCCAGCCCAGUCCCCUCAGGGAGGCCUUCCAGUUCCCUCCAGAGGAAGUUUUCUGUCUUGAUUCUGCCUUGUUGCUUGUAAGCUUCUUCCUCAGUUUGCUUCUAAGCUCUUCACCAGUCACAUUCUCAGUUGCAGGGAAAAAUAGUCUGUUUACACUAGUUAAAAAGUAAGGAGCUUACCAGGUUGCUUCCCCAGUGUCUGGAAAAGCACAAAAACUGAGCUUAAAGACCACAAAACCAGGAAACUACAAAAAUGAUACCUGGACUGUCACAGCAGAGAACUGUUUCAGUAAAACACCGCAACGCCGUGUUGCCCGGCACCUAUGCCAUGAGGGACGGUAAGCCAGAAACCCCACUACGGUUACCCCGAAGGACCAGACUCCUCUGCCAUGUGCACACCGAAAACACAAUCUCCCCAGACACGCCAUCUUCACAGUGCUCCAAGUUGUCCAAGAUGAUCAGCUUCAUUUUCAUGAGUACCUGCCAUACGCCACCACCACCGAGUCUGUGAGUGCCCCAGGGAGAAGGAAGCCAUGUAGUUCUAAAAACAGAAAACUAAACCCAAACAGAAAACUCCUCCCAUGGCACUAUAUGUAUAGGAGGUAAACAAUAACAUAGGUUGAGGAUUUGGCUGCUGCUAUUAAUGAUGCUUUCCUUAUGCUGAUUCCACUACCUAGGGAUCUUUCCCACAUGCUUCACUGAUGCUUUGAGAUUUAUCUCAGAUAUCACCUCCUCUGGCAGGGACCAUGGUUUGUUCAUAUCUAUGUCACAGAGCCUGAUACAGUGCCCGGAAUACGGCAGGCACUUCACUUAUGUUUUCUGAAAUGAAACUAUGGUUACUUGAUUUUAUUUUUAACUAUCCUUUGGCUUAAGGUGAUUUGGGCCUGAGACUUGUCAGGAGCUCAGCUGGGCUGGGAGAGAGAGCUGAGCUGUCCGUUGUCAGAGCAGCCGAUUAAAGCAAAAAGCCAAAAAUGACAGUUAAGCCUCUAAUCACCUACUGUGAUGGUUUAAGCAAGAGUCUGAAACCAGAGAAAAUGCUGCCUUCCCCUGUCCCAGUUUCCCCCUGGUGGAGGGUCAGAUGGAUAAGCACAGAUGUAGAGGUCGCCUCCCUGUUGAGGGAGCCCCAAACCAAGAGCUCUGGCAGUCUUAUGGGUUCUGGAGUUGAGAGAAGGUGAGAGAAGGACUAGAAGUGGAAAAGGAUUGGGUCCUGAGUCAGAGAGGGAAAAGUGUCUUCAAGGUUUCCUCCUCCUCCUCCAGAUAAGGAGGUCUCUGCAGAGGCACCUGAAGAGGACCUCUGGCCAAGGCUUCAGAUAAAGAGACCCAGGAAUGAAGGCAUAGGGGCUAGGAAUGCAAAUGUGCAAAGAGCAUGACUGGCCUGGCACCUUGACUGCCCCUCCCUCCAGGGACUGCAGUGCGCAGGCUGUGCACUAAAUCUGCUUUGUGGGGGGCAGCUUCCCCUGUGAGGGCUGCCAGGUGGAGCCUUUCUAAUUGCCUCUGGUCACCUGAAAAAAAAUCACACAUAGGUUUUUAACCAGGAGUUGCCCUCCUCAAUAUUAAAAGUCAAAACACAGAAACAAUCAACUAGAAAGCACAUACUCUUGCACUGCCGCCUCUCAGGUUUUCCAGGGGAGGGACAUAGAGCAGCAUUUCCCUCCAGUGACAAAUUCCUGAGAGAAGAAUCCAAGCCUGCAGAUGAACUAAAGUGAAGAAGGAAUGCAUACUUCUGUGGUAAAUUAGGAAAGGCCAGCCAAACUAGGACCUAGAAUUUAUCUAUAUGUUGGAAAAGUUGAUGCAGUGCUUCUGUAAAAAGCACUAAAAGAAAAACAAAAACACUCCCACAAAUGUCAGUGUGUGAGGUUUUUCUUCCCAACACCAGCAACCAAUUCUCUGACACCAACUGGGUGACCAACAAUUCAAUCCAAUUCUCACACCAGCUUCCAAGAGUUAGCACAGACUCUACAGGUUAAGGGCUCAGUCCCCCAAGACUGCCUCCACUUCAGGCGCCAGUCGCGAGUCCCAGAGGGCCACCCAUACUUCUGACUGAAUAGCUAUAACCAAGGGGUUCCCAGGACCCCCUCUUCAGGAUUGAUAAUUUGCUGAACAACGCACAGAACUUGGGAAAACACUUAGGUUUACCAAUUUAUUAUAAAGGAUACAACUCAGGAACAGGCAACUGGAAGUGAGUGAUGAGUAAAUGACAAGCAAUGGGAUAUAUUGGCAUAUAUGAGGAAGCCAUUUGGUUUAAAACUAAUUCAGCCUGACCUUGUUUUUCCAGAAAGACCUGACACGGCCCAUUGAGCAUGCAUUGUACCUCUGUUUGAAACAUUUACAAUAUCCCAGAGCCAAGAAUGAUACCCUUAAAGAUAGGUAUGUUUCCUCCCCCAUAUCAGCAUUCCUUUAAGGAUAAGCAUUUCUUACCAGAGUCUAAGGAUUAAUUACUGACCUGCUUUAACUUACCUCAUGACCACUGACGUGCUUGACCACUCACCUUGUGCGUUCUUAUGGCUGAACUACUAAUAAAAUUGACACAAGACCAGAUUAACAGAAAGAAAACCCAGUUUAAUACAUGCACUUUGGAGAUCAUAAAAAGUGAUGCUAAGAGAGUGAACAAAGGGGGCAGUAUAUAUAUCUUUUAUACAAAGAAAUUGUAAAUUUGUGAAGAAUUGACAAGACAAAGAAACCUAGGUUGGCGGUAUGUAAAUAGUGAGGACAUUAAGCAGAGUUUUGGCUUGAGGUAGUAAAUUAGCAAGGUUUGCCUGUGCAGGCUCCUCAGCCCUGAAUCCCCAGCUCUGGGGAGAAGGAUGCAGGGAGAGCUCCUUUCACAUGGGAGAUUUAUUUCCUGCUUUCAAUGGAACUGAGACAGGACACUUUUGCUUCUCGAGUAACUUUCAUUCAAAAUAAUCAAUAUGCUAUUGUGGGACAUUUUGGGGUGGCCCAGCCUGGGCCCCAACUGUUCCCUCCUGUGAAACUUUCCCUGGAAGUUUCAUAUAUUAAAAGUUGAGUUGGUAGAUUGUUCCGUUAUUUCAUUGAAUUAAUCUUUUAGUGUUGAAAAGAGGUCAGUUUAAUAAAACAGUUAUGUCUUACUUCAGAAGGCAAUGCUACAGGUUGGCUCCCAAAGUUAGGCCUGAGGUGCAAGAAUUCAGGUAUUUAAUAAGAGGAAUUUCUAUGGAAACAAAGAAAAAUAAUGGUUAAUGAUUGGAGCAAAUUAUAAACCAGUCUUUGAGCCUAGAGGGAAGCCAGUCAAUAUGAUUUCUAGAUGUCAGGGUUGAAGCAUCCUUUGCAGGUAGAAAUGUCUCUGAUGAUGUCAUUGGGUGCUCAGGUAAACCUGAGUGGCUUACUCAGCAACAGGCAUGAAAGUUGUUUAAACAUGGGUUAUUGUGGCAAUCUCUCUUAAGUUUAUAUCAAGUUGUUCAGCUUCAGUUUGUAGGGCUUCAGGGAAAGAGAGCAGCUUUAGUUCUUAAUGAUUCCAAGUCAAAAGUGGGAGAAAAAUUGGAAACAUUAGUUUAGAGAGUUAUAGCCAAAUAUUUGAGGAAAUUAGAAGAAUUUAGAAUCUAGUCCAGUUUUUAGUAAAUGACAAAACUUCAAGGAAAAUUAACAGCAUUAGAAUCUAAAAUUCAUAAGUAUGUAUUAUAGUUUCUACUGAAACAUAUUUUUUUCUCCCUAAAAUCACUCUCAUUUUAUCAAAGAUAGUCAAUUAAGACUAAUUUGUUUGCAAAAUAAUUCUAGUUUCAAUAAACUUGGCUUAGUUAUUUACAUAAGUGCAGCAAGAAUAGCCAUUGAUCAUAUAGGCUCUUUUAAAUUUGUUUUGCUGGAACGUUUUAUAAGGAAUCUCCAGAUUGAACUUUUAAUAGCUUCUGAAGGCUAAGAAGCCAAGCCAAAUAUUCAACCUGCAAUACCUAUAGAUUUGGGUGAAUUCCUCUUGUCUUGAGGCUCCCAACAUAUUUUAAGGUCUUUGCACCUGCCAGGAAGUGACUUUCUUUACUCACCUGGUUAGGCUGUCAGGAAGCCCCUAGGUAAGGUAACCUGCUAUUUUUCCAAGGGGCUUUAUUGGCUUCACAGAGUCAUCGUUAAUUCCUGAAAGUUGUUUAGUCAUAUCUGAGUUUCUGUAUGUCUCUCUCAAACAUGACAUUCCAGUCAAAGCCUUGGUAAUAUAACCGAUGUUUCCAAUUGUGUCCUGUUACAGCGAGAACAGAUUCUUAUAGACUAUAUGCAAAUAAAUAUAUUGUCAUGAAAAUGAGAAUACUCAUGGAGAGUUUCCGAAUUCUGGAGGGAUCAGACAGGGAGUAAAAGUAACUGUUUCAAUUCUGCUUACCAAGGUAUAAUUCACCAAAUUGCUGUGUCAUAGAUAGCUUAAGAGAAAAAAAGAUUUCCUUAAAUCUGGAAAAACGAAAGAUUAAAAAAACUAAUAUUUUAGAUAAAAAUUCAUAAAAAUGAUAAUUAUCCUCAUUAGUUCAUUUAGUCCCAUGGACUUAAUUCUCGUUUUGAUUGAAUCUCGUUUAGCUUACCUUUUUGCCAGUUUCUGUGUCAGAGGUCCCAGGAUCUCUUAUCUGCAGCAGCCUCAGGGAGAAAGCAGUUUUCUAGCCCAUGAUUCUCCUGGCUGGCUCGCCAAAACUGUCAGGGAGGGGGAAAAUCCCCUUUGUUCCCUUCUUGUGUUCCUAUGGCUGGACUAGUAAUAAAAUUGAUACAAGACCAGUUUUUCCAUUGGCUCUCUUGGCUUUGUCUAAUGAUUGAGGGUGAUAUGAACAGUAAUAAUUCCAAGAAGUUUGCAAGGUUUUUGUGAAGGCUUGUAUAAUUUGCCCAGUGAAGUGGAAGCCUCGAUCACUGGAGACUGUGAAAGGUAUACCCUAAGUGGGAAAAACAUUUUCCAACAGUUUUCUUUGCCAUUGUGAGGGCAUCAGCUUCGUGGCAAAGGAAGGCUUCAACCUAUCUGGAAAACAUACAUACAACAGCAAGAACAUAUAGACAACUAGAUACUGAGUGGCAAUUGGAUGAAGUUCAGGUGCUGGUGUUCAAAGGACCCAGAGAGAGGAAUUCGGAAGCCUCUAGGGACAGAAAUAGUUUUUUCUUUAGUAGGUGGAAGAAUGUAAAAACUGAAAAAUGGGGUUUGCCAAGGAGCCAGGAAGAACCAAGCAGCCAUCUUGCGUUCCCCAUAGCCAAGACUGUUUAUUUAAUUUACAGCCAUUGUUUACCCAUCUUAAUUUCUCUGAGUUAGGGCAGACUGUUGCCAUGCCAUGUUACAAGGACAUCAGGAUGGCAAAAGUCUGGCAAUGAGGGGUCAAUUUUUUUUUUUUUCUUUUUAGUAAAAGUUCACUCUCGAAAAUAGUCUAGAAAGCAAAGACCUUUGUUGCACAGGCAAUAAGGAUGGUGUAGUGAAAACAAUGUCUCUGGUCUCCCACAGGAGCAUGGGACACCUCCAGUCACAGACCCACUAGUCUGUGACACAUAGCAGGCACUACUGGAAUGGGAUUUUUCCAGCACUAACAAGCAACCAAGGCUGAGAUGACAAAGCCCCUUAUGGACUGGACCCUUUAUGACAAACUCCCCUGAGAGCUGGUACAGCUGGACAAAGAGUGCUGCUUGUGACUGCAAGUCUUGGAACCCUAGUCUUUCGACUGGCUGCCAGGUGUACCCUGGUAAAUGCACCUUCUGGAUGGUGGAGGCCAGAGAAAAUAUUUUCAUUGGCCACAAAGCCAAGCUUUCAGGACACAGAACAAGAUGGAAACAAAAACCUCAUCCAGUUUUUAAAUAGGGAACCUGAAGCAAAGUUUGUCUAAAUAGACACCAGUCUUGUGAGAACUAUAAAACUCACCAGUCCGUGAGGCUGGCUCAAACAGCAGGCUUGUCAAGGAACUGUACCUGCUGUCCUGCCCUAUAGUUCUUCUUCCUUAUGACAAACAAGGCGACAGGCAGAGAGUCAAAGGAAAGCAAAGACUUUCC
rnacentral:lncRNA from 1 species